AUGUUUGUGGGUGUAAUUUCGUCCAGUUGCAGAUACUACUAUCCUUUUUGGAAUGAUCUGCCUUUGAAAAACAAUGGUUCUAUCUGACAAAAGCGAACAGAUCCUGUAGUUGUAAUUGAUACACUAAAUCAGUGUUUCUCAACCUUUUUUUUAGGCGAGGCACCCUUUCAAUUCAUGAAAAAUUUCAAGGCACCCCAAACCAACUAGCCGUAAUAUAGCAUCACAUCCGAUACCACACAACCUUAGAAUGUAACACAUUUGGAGACACACAACCUAGUCGCACGACCUACGUUCAAAGUUGCAGCUGGGGUGACCAAUAUUUACUUUAUUGUGCGUAAAUGGCAGAUCAAAGAUUCCACUGACUAACAUUAACUUAUCAAUUUUGACAAAUAUGUUUUAUGUUAUAUAAUUUAUUUAUCAGCCACGUUUCCGCGGCACCCCUGAGGGGGCCCUACGGCACCCCUGUUGAGAAACACUGCACUAAAUUAUGAUAUUCCUAUGUGUGCGCGCGCACGCGCCAAGUUUUCAAUUCAACACACUGGGACACUUUUCAGUCUUUGAGGUUGCUGGAAUCAACACAGACUACCUCCAUGCACCUUAUCAGAACACUUUGCAUGUUUGUUGUAUACUUGUCCCCUUUGUGUAUUGCUGCUAAUCUUUCUCUUUCUAGGUUCUGUUGGUUGCAUGCAGAUUGUGCCAGAUGAUUUAUCUGUCUAUGGUCUAAGCAUGGGCUCUGUGCUAAUAUGCAAUUUGUGCUCUUUUUUCCCUCAGGUCAACAGCAGACAGGGUCCUUCCACAACCACAUACUUAUGCCAGUAAAAGCCACAGCUUUUCUCCUCCAAUCCAAGAAGCCUGGACUGCAGUCACCAUCUCAACACACCAACCAAGAGAAAGGCGGAUGGCUCAAUUCAGUAUGUAGUUCUGCAAAUAUUCUCAAAGGUCUUCACAGCCCCCCAUGGUGCUGAAUGCAUUUACAUUUAUUUGUAUAUGGAAAAUUGCACAAUAAAAGUUCCAGGACAUGAAGGCUGCAUACUGUGAACGUCAACCUUCAGGGCACCGUCCUGCGCAGAAGACUUUCUACCCUAAGAGGGAUGGCUGACCGCAGACACUCACAACCAGCACAGACGCCUCCAACCUCAGACUAGGCCCUUCACAGUUGCUGCUUUUACCCACCUUCCCAGAGUUUUUGUGUGGUAAUGACAACUGUAAAUAUAGUAUAAAGUAAUGUAUCUAGCGUCAUGUGUAAUAGUACAUUGUUUAAAUUGUCCAUACAUUUCAAUGACAGUAAAUAUUGGUG